UACAGAGGUCCCGAGCGUUGUUCGGAUUUACUGGGCGUAAAGGGUGCGUAGGUGGUCGGGUAAGUCUCAUGUGAAAUCCCGCAGCUUAACUGCGGAACGGCAUGGGAUACUAUUCGGCUCGAGGGAUUGGAGGGGGGACUGGAAUUCCCGGUGUAGCAGUGAAAUGCGUAGAUAUCGGGAGGAACACCAGUGGCGAAGGCGGCUACCUGGCCCAUUCUUGACGCUGAGGCGCGAAAGCUAGGGGAGCAAACGGG
rnacentral:rRNA from 1 species